AAGCAGAAGCUGGCUGAGGGCUGGGCUACCUACCAGGAAUUCAUCUUGGAGACGUGUCGGGCAAGACAAUUUAAAGCUCAAGAAAAUAGGAGCAUGGUCUUGGGAUCAUCUAUUUUGAGGGAAGAAUGUUUUGAUGGUGAUCGCAGAAGUAUCUACAACACAGAUUUUCAGCCCUUGCUUGGAGCCCAUGGUGGAUACUGYAAAGCAAAUAGCACUUUUUCACACAUUUUUACUGAAGAUGAGUGCUUUAACCAGAACUACUGGGUAUCAGAGUACGAGGACAACUACAGCAUUUUCUUGCAG